CCAACCCAUUUCGAAGUUCUCUCUGCCUCUGUUACUGUCAAAGGGGACGAGUACGGUGGGAUGAAGCGAAUCUCAAUGAAAUCAACACAAAUAAACCUAUAAGGAAAAAAAUAGACGAACCUAAGACACCAUAUCACCCAAUUCUUGGAGAAGAUGGUUGUUCUUCCCCUGAAUCGGAUUCCUCUGACUCAAUUAGUUAUGCUGCAAAUGCUGAAGCUGUAAGGAUUGCACUGAAUAAAGUAGCUUUAACUCAA